GAUGAACGCUGGCGGCGUGCCUAAUACAUGCAAGUCGAGCGAACAGACGAGGAGCUUGCUCCUCUGACGUUAGCGGCGGACGGGUGGGUAACACGUGGAUAACCUACCUAUAAGACUGGGAUAACUUCGGGAAACCGGAGCUAAUACCGGAUAACAUGUUGAACCGCAUGGUUCAACAGUGAAAGACGGUCUUGCUGUCACUUAUAGAUGGAUCCGCGCCGCAUUAGCUAGUUGGUAAGGUAACGGCUUACCAAGGCAACGAUGCGUAGCCGACCUGAGAGGGUGAUCGGCCACACGGGAACUGAGACACGGUCCAGACUCCUACGGGAGGCAGCAGUAGGGAAUCUUCCGCAAUGGGCGAAAGCCUGACGGAGCAACGCCGCGGGAGUGAAGGAGGUCUUCGGAUCGUAAAACUCUGUUAUUAGGGAAGAACAAAUGUGUAAGUAACUAUGCACGUCUUGACGGUACCUAAUCAGAAAGCCACGGCUAACUACGUG
rnacentral:rRNA from 1 species